rnacentral:rRNA from 1 species
AUUGAACGCUGGCGGCAUGCCUUACACAUGCAAGUCGAACGGCAGCACGGGUGCUUGCACCUGGUGGCGAGUGGCGAACGGGUGAGUAAUACAUCGGAACGUACCUUAUCGUGGGGGAUAACGCAGCGAAAGCUGUGCUAAUACAGCAUACGCCCUGAGGGGGAAAGCGGGGGAUCGAAAGACCUCGCGCGAUUAGAGCGGCCGAUGCCUGAUUAGCUUGUUGGUGGGGUAAAAGCCCACCAAGGCGACGAUCAGUAGCUGGUCUGAGAGGACGAUCAGCCGCGAUGGGGCUGAGACACGGCCCAGACUCCUACGGGAGGCAGCAGUGGGGAAUUUUGGACAAUGGGGGCAACCCUUAUCCAGCAAUGCCGCGUGAUUGAAGAAUGCCUUCGGGUUGUAAAGCUCUUUUGUCAGGGAAGAAACACCGGCUCUAACACAGUCCGGGAAUGACGGUACCUGAAGAAUAAGCACCGGCUAACUACGUGCCAGCCGCCGCCGUAA